CUGGACCGGCCUGUCUCUUGGAUCUCAUUCUGCUGUUUUCCUCUCCCUUCCCAACACCACCAGCAAUUCCAGGCGCAGUUCUCCCUUCGUUCCCUUCUCCAUGUUCCAUCUUGUUGUUCCCCGCACCUGGGAUGACCUGUCGGUGCCGAUGUGCCACACCCUUUCAGAUCCCUCCUAGGGACUCACUUCCCCUGCAAUGCCCACAAACACUGACCCGUUAUAAUUAUUAUUGCUUCAUUAUGGGAGGUCUCACCGGGUGCUUUCCGAACACACAAAGCGGGAAGGUCUCUGCAUCUGUACCUCUGCUCUUUACUGGCUGGAAUCGUGUGGACCUACCUAUAUUCAUAGAUUUUUAAGGCCAGAAGAGACCAUUAUGAUCAUCUAGUCUGACUUCCUGCAUAACACAAUCCAUGGGACUUCCCUGUAUUAACUCCUGCUUUCAAUUCAAUUACUCUGCUUAAACGAGAGCAAGCCUUUUAGAAAAACAUUGAGGCUUGAUUUCAAAAUUGCCCAUAAUCGAAAUCCACUACAGCGCUUGGCAGCUGAAAUGUCUAACAGUGAGCACAACCAAGACUUCCAGAUGGUGGAGCAAAUGGAAGAGACGGGCGAAAGAAAAGCUGGCGAUGGAAAAGGUCCAGAGUUCAACCCAAGUGGAGGCAAGGAGUCCCCAUCUGUGACUUCUGAGUCUACUCCCUUCCCAAAUUCUUAUGUCAACCAGCAUGCCAUGAGGAAAUUCUUUGUUACAAGGCCAGGAGCAUUUGACCAAGCCAUAGAAGAUCUAAAAAUCCAUGUGGUCAAGAAUUCGGGGGAAACUGCUCAGAGCUUCUGGCUUUUGUCCGAGUGAGUAGCCAUGAUGUAUGGGG